rnacentral:rRNA from 1 species
UGGGGAAUAUUGGACAAUGGGCGAAAGCCUGAUCCAGCCAUGCCGCGUGUGUGAAGAAGGUCUUCGGAUUGUAAAGCACUUUAAGUUGGGAGGAAGGGCAGUAAGCGAAUACCUUGCUGUUUUGACGUUACCGACAGAAUAAGCACCGGCUAACUCUGUGCCAGCAGCCGCGGUAAUACAGAGGGUGCAAGCGUUAAUCGGAAUUACUGGGCGUAAAGCGCGCGUAGGUGGUUCGUUAAGUUGAAUGUGAAAGCCCCGGGCUCAACCUGGGAACUGCAUCCAAAACUGGCGAGCUAGAGUAGGGCAGAGGAUGGUGGAAUUUCCUGUGUAGCGGUGAAAUGCGUAGAUAUAGGAAGGAACACCAGUGGAGAAGGAGACAACCUGUGCUCAUACUGACGCUGAGGUGCGAAAGCGUGGGGAGCAAACAGG